rnacentral:rRNA from 1 species
GACGUAGGGCGCGAGCGUUGUCCGGAUUUAUUGGGCGUAAAGAGCUCGUAGGCGGCUUGUCGCGUCGUCCGUGAAAACUUGGGGCUCAACCCCAAGCUUGCGGUCGAUACGGGCAGGCUAGAGUUCGGUAGGGGAGACUGGAAUUCCUGGUGUAGCGGUGAAAUGCGCAGAUAUCAGGAGGAACACCGGUGGCGAAGGCGGGUCUCUGGGCCGAUACUGACGCUGAGGCACGAAAGCGUGGGGAGCAAACAGG